rnacentral:misc_RNA from 1 species
AAGUCGUAACAAGGUAACCGUAGGUGAACCUGCGGUUGGAUCAUUACCAAUGAUUGGGGCCAGUUGAGAUUUAUUUUUCCUGGUUACUCAAAUCAAACACCCAUCUUUGUGCACCCUAUCACGUCUCUGGUGGCCGCAAGAGUUCUCUGUUUGGAGAAUCUCUUCUAGUUCAUUUUGUUCUCCGGACAAAUGAAUGAAGCCACCAAAUGUUUUUAUAUAAUACACCAUUUUGCCAUCCAAAUUAUUGUCUAACAUUGAUUUUUGUGUAAAAAAUACAUAAAACAACUUUUGGCAACGGAUCUCUUGGCUCUC